rnacentral:lncRNA from 1 species
AUGAUAUAUGCAUUUGACCAAGGUUUUGGUAACUUUAAAUAAUAUUUUUUUCAGAAAAGGACUUAGUUCCUUACAAUUUAUUUUUAAGUGUUUGGAUUCUCAGGUAGUAAUUGAGAGAUCUUUGAUAAGAAAAACCAAACAUUUCAUUCUUUCUCAGUUUUUUACAAUAUAGGGCUAUAGUGUUUUGAGUGGGACAGUUUAGUGAUAGGAGUGCAGGUUAUGGAG